rnacentral:rRNA from 1 species
UACGGAGGGUGCAAGCGUUAUCCGGAUUCACUGGGUUUAAAGGGUGCGUAGGCGGGCAGAUAAGUCAGUGGUGAAAUCCCCGAGCUUAACUUGGGAACUGCCAUUGAUACUAUUUGUCUUGAAUGUCGUGGAGGUUAGCGGAAUAUGUCAUGUAGCGGUGAAAUGCUUAGAUAUGACAUAGAACACCCAUUGCGAAGGCAGCUAACUACGCGAAUAUUGACGCUGAUGCACGAAAGCGUGGGGAUCAAACAGG